rfam:Triticum aestivum genome assembly, contig: Triticum_aestivum_CS42_TGACv1_scaffold_050206_1BS
CAACUACUCCCUCUGUCCCAGAAAUCUUGUCUUAAAUUUGUGGAUACGGAUAUAUCUAGACAAGUUUUAGUGUUAGAUUCAUCUAUAUGUAGAUAGAUCUAAGACAAGAUUUUUAGGACGGAGGUAAUAUAAU